AGAGUUUGAUCAUGGCUCAGGACGAACGCUGGCGGCGUGCUUAACACAUGCAAGUCGAGCGAUGAAACUUCUUCGGAAGUGGAUUAGCGGCGGACGGGUGAGUAACACGUGGGCAACCUGCCCUAUAGAGGGGAAUAGCCUUCCGAAAGGAAGAUUAAUACCCCAUAAGAUUGUAGUUUCACAUGGAACAGCAAUUAAAGGAGCAAUCCGCUAUAGGAUGGGCCCGCGGCGCAUUAGCUAGUUGGUGAGGUAACGGCUCACCAAGGCGACGAUGCGUAGCCGACCUGAGAGGGUGAUCGGCCACAUUGGGACUGAGACACGGCCCAGGCUCCUACGGGAGGCAGCAGUGGGGAAUAUUGCACAAUGGGGGAAACCCUGAUGCAGCAACGCCGCGUGAGUGAUGAAGGCCUUCGGGUUGUAAAGCUCUGUCUUUGGGGACGAUAAUGACGGUACCCAAGGAGGAAGCCACGGCUAACUACGUGCCAGCAGCCGCGGUAAUACGUAGGUGGCAAGCGUUGUCCGGAUUUACUGGGCGUAAAGGGAGCGUAGGCGGAUUUUUAAGUGGGAUGUGAAAUACUCGGGCUCAACCUGAGUGCUGCAUUCCAAACUGGAAGUCUAGAGUACAGGAGGGGAAAGUGGAAUUCCUAGUGUAGCGGUGAAAUGCGUAGAUAUUAGGAAGAACACCGGUGGCGAAGGCGACUUUCUGGACUGUAACUGACGCUGAGGCUCGAAAGCGUGGGGACGAACAGGAUUAGAUACCCUAGUAGUCC
rnacentral:rRNA from 1 species